rnacentral:rRNA from 1 species
UAGGGAAUCUUCCGCAAUGGGCGAAAGCUUGACGGAGCAACGCCGCGUGAGUGAUGAAGGUCUUCGGAUCGUAAAACUCUGUUAUUAGGGAAGAACAAAUGUGUAAGUAACUAUGCACGUCUUGACGGUACCUAAUCAGAAAGCCACGGCUAACUACGUGCCAACAGCCGCGGUAAUACGUAGGUGGCAAGCGUUAUCCGGAAUUAUUGGGCGUAAAGCGCGCGUAGGCGGUUUUUUAAGUCUGAUGUGAAAGCCCACGGCUCAACCGUGGAGGGUCAUUGGAAACUGGAAAACUUGAGUGCAGAAGAGGAAAGUGGAAUUCCAUGUGUAGCGGUGAAAUGCGCAGAGAUAUGGAGGAACACCAGUGGCGAAGGCGACUUUCUGGUCUGUAACUGACGCUGAUGUGCGAAAGCGGGGGGAUCAAACAGG